rnacentral:lncRNA from 11 species
CAAGGAUUUAAACCACUGUGCCACUGGGGGCUCCAUGUGGGAAAUGAAAGUAAAGGGUUAAUCCAUGGGGUCUUUAAGUUUUAAAGUGGAAAAAGAGAAAAGGAAGUGGAGUUGCCAUUGCCCCAGCACUCCUCAAUUAGGGUUAUCAAGACAACAAAGGAAUGCUCAUAGUCACAAAUUUGCCCAAGGUUCUGUAAAUACAUCUUCUUUGCAACAAUAUCGGAGAACAUCAGUGACCUCAUCAGACAGGGUUUUUCCUGGAGUCUACUGGAGUCAAUUAUAUGACAAAGGGCUACUUCCAGUAGAGCUCCAUGUUAAGAGGGAGCCCUGAGAAUACGUGUGACUUGAAGAAGUCAGGAACAGCACAGGAGGAAUCCAGAGACAGCAGGAAAAUGUCGUGGCAUGGCAGCCCACAACCAACCAUGGUUAGGGGACACGCUUCCCCUGCAGUCCUCCAGCUUCUAGAACUCCAUGUGAUGAGGUCUCUAGUCUUUCACCAGCUUGUUAGCAUCUCUAACACAGCCAAUCUAAUUAGAAUAAAAAACAUCAAAUCCCUGCCACAUUCAUAAAACCGUUCCAUUGUGUGUCAGACAACCUUUCCUUUUUUGUGUGGGAGACAUAUGCCUGUUGCCAGACAUAUUUUUAAUUCCUUGCUCUCAUUUUCUUUAGCUUCAGCUACCUGGUUGUUUAAUUACAUUCCUUGUUGAUCCAUAUGUUUUGUUUAUCUGUGACCUCAUUGCAUAAAAUAUAGUGCCGUGAUGGCAGCUGGAAUUCAUUAAAGCAAUUACAAAU